rnacentral:lncRNA from 10 species
CAAACUCUUCUCGGGCUACAUGCCAACUGAGACCUGCCUUCCCAACCUCUUGGUUCAUAAGCAGUUUACAGAUGAAGAAACAGGACCAGAAAUAUCAAGAGACUAGCCCAAGUGGAAAAGUCAUCUCUCAGAUUGAGAUGGAACCAGUCCCUCCCAUGCCAGGGCCUGUGUGGAUCAUUCCAUGGCCCCAGAGACCCUACUCCUGCACCCAAAGUAAAAUACUUUCACGAACCAGAAGAACAUAAGAGCUAAUUGCUUCCUAACAGUUGGAACUAAAUGAUCUGAAAGGUAAAAAUUCCCCAAUACUGGUGAAAUUUUAAUGGUCACACAAACAACAAUCAGGAAAACAUUGUAAGCUUAUUGAACAUGACCUUCUAACAACAGCUUCCAGGGAUGGUAGCAGAAUUAUUUUUGUGAAAGGCAACAUGGCAUGCCUUCUAAUGUUUGACUUUUAAAUUUACUGAAAUCAUUCACUUACAGGGAGUGGAAUUUUCAUGGCCUUUGAAAUGUGUUACUAAAUUCCUUUUCAAAAGAUUGUACUGAUUUACAAUGCCACUUGAGAGACAAAUGCUUCUUAGAAUCAUAAAUGAUCUUUUAUUGUCAAGUGGCAUGUAGAACCAUAAAAAUAAGCUUAGCCAUUCUAGAUUGAGA